AGCGCAAUCUAUCGGCUGCUUCCGUUAACCUGCGGACAUUUGGGAAUUACAUGGCCGUUAUCGCCCAAGAUGCGUCGAGCGUGAUAGGAUUUGAGCGAGAAAAUACAAGUACACCCAAGGACAGAAUGAAACCAAAGGGGUUUGUCAGCUUCCACUCAUCAGAGACCGCAGAGGAAGACGAUGCCCGAGAAUCCAUCCAACCGAAGCAGCCGAAGUGUCUCUGUUGCAACGAAACUGAUCAUUAUUUGCGUGAUUGCGAGGUCUUCAAAACCAUGGAAGUGGACGACCGUUGGCGGAAAGUUCGCGAAAUGAGACUAUGCCAAACUUGUCUGUUCGGACACGGACGACGGGCCUGUCGCAGCAGUCGCCAAUGCAGCAUUGAUGGAUGUCAGUUUCGCCAUCAUCAACUCCUUCAUUCCGCUAAGAAGCUGGCAACCCUAGCACCGAUUGUCGCUGAAAAUCAUGCUCAUAGAUCUCUGGACUCUAGUCUCCUCUUUCGAGUGAUCCCCGUGACGCUGUAUGGAAAAUCCGGGUCCAUCAACGUGUUUGCCUUCAUUGACGAGGGAUCUUCCAGGACACUAGUGGAAGGAGAGCUGAUCAAGCAACUCGGAUUAAAAGGUCAUCCGCAGCCGAUCUGCCUUCACUGGACUGGGAAUCUUUCCAGGAAUGAGCAGAACUCGCAGAAGAUUUCAUUGCAAGUGUCGGGAUUGAACAAAAACAAGCGCUACACAGUCUCGGAAGCGCAAACCGUUGACAAACUGAACUUGCCAACGCAAAGCUUCAACUUCGAGGAGGCAGCUGAACGUUAUGCCCACCUCAAACAACUGCCAGUACAAGGAUAUCACAAUGUUAGUCCCAGGAUGUUGAUCGGAAUCGAUAAUUUGCGGCUGGCUCUUCCAUUGAAAAUCAAAGAAGGUGAUGGAUCAGGACCCGUUGCCGUAAAGACGAGACUCGGGUGGUGCGUUUACGGAGGACAACAGAAAGCUUCCUCUGCAUCGUACAAUUUUCACGUCAGCGAGUGCGGUAACAGUUGCGACAUCCAUGAAGCCCUCAAGCAGUUUUUUGCCGUUGAAGAGGUAAGUGUUACCAAUUCCAAGCCAAGUUUGUCUAAAGAUGAACAACGAGCGUGGAUGUUGCUUGAAUCUACAACCAAACGAGUGGGAUCGCGUUUCGAAACCGGACUGCUCUGGAAGCAGGAUGAUAUUGAGCUCCCAGACAGCUACCCUUUGGCGCUACGUAGGCUGCAAUGUCUCGAGAGACGAAUGGAGCGAAAUCCGCAGUUAAAGGAAAGUCUGCACCGGAAAAUCGAAGAGUACGUGGUCAAAGGCUAUGCACACAAAGCGGUUCCAGAAGAAUUGAGACAUGCGGACCCGCGGAAGAUUUGGUAUGUCCCUAUAGGAGCAGUUACGAAUUCGAAAAAGCCUGGCAAGGUGCGCAUUAUCUGCGACGCCCGUGCGCAGGUUGAAGGUGUAUCUCUCAACUCCGUCCUGCUGAAAGGGCCGGACUUGAUGACGUCUAUCAUUUCGAUCAUCUUUGGGUUUCGGAUGUAUAAAGUGGCAGUAUCAGCAGACGUCCAAGAAAUGUUUCAUCAGCUGCUGAUACGCGAGGCUGACAAGCAUGCUCAACGAUUCCUGUGGCGUCCGAAUCCUACAGAACAACCAGAAAUCUAUAUCAUUGAUGUCGCGAUGUUUGGUUCCACAUGCUCGCCCGCUUCAGCUCAGUUCGUAAAGAACCUAAAUGCGAAGCAGCACUCCCAUUUGUACCCUGAGGCAUCAGAUAGUAUAAUCAACUGUCACUACGUUGAUGACUAUCUUGAAAGUUUUGAAAGCGAAGAGGAAGCUGAGCGAGUUGCGUCGGAAGUGCGUUUAGUCCAUCGUAAUGGAGGAUUCAAUUUGCGUGGUUGGAUUUCAAAUAGCAAGCAAGUUUUGAAUUCUCUGGAAAUGACUAAAGGAACCGUCGAAGAAACCAUCAAGAAUCUGAAUUUGGUCGACAGUGAACGUUCGGAACGCGUCUUAGGGAUGUUGUGGAACCCGGAAACAGAUGACCUCAGUUUUUCCACAAAUAUGAGCGAAGAAGUUUGGACGCUGAUCAAGAAUGAUGCUCGCCCCACAAAAAGGCAGAUACUGAGAUGCGUCAUGACACUGUAUGAUCCGUUAGGGUUACUGGCUCCAUUUCUUAUUCAUGGAAAAAUAUUGAUACAAAAUCUUUGGCGUUCAGGCUGUGGAUGGGACGAAACAGUAAAUGAUUCCGAGUUUAACUUGUGGCAGGAAUGGACGAAAAUGAUCGAAUGCAUCGCAACAAUUAAAAUUCCACGGUGUUACUUUGAACAAGCUACACGCAAGACCUACGACGACAUUCAACUGCAUGCCUUCGUCGAUGCAAGCGAGAAUGCUUAUGCAUGCGUUGUGUAUUUCCGUACGAUUGACGAAAAUGGAAACCCGCAAUGUACUCUCGUAGCAGGCAAGGCAAAGGUAGCUCCAGUCAAGCCGCUGUCUGUGCCAAGACUGGAACUCCAGGGCUGCGUAUUGGGAACCCGAUUGGCUAAAUUCGUCGAGGACAACCAUAAGGUGAAAAUUUCGAAGAAGGUUUUUUGGACGGAUUCAUCGACUGCACUAUCGUGGAUUCUGGCGGAUCCGCGUAACUAUCGCCCCUAUGUGCAACACAGAGUAGGAGAAAUCUUGGAAUCAACGAACGCCGAUGAAUGGAGGUGGGUUCCUUCGAAAAUGAAUCCAGCUGACGAAGCAACCAAGUGGGGAAGUGGCCCAUACUUCAACUCGAGCAGCAAAUGGUUUUGUGGACCGGAAUUUUUACUGCUUUCCGAAGACGAAUGGCCACGUUCCCCGAAACAAUCCGUUUCUACCACUGUGGAGCUACGAUCAUCAGUGUUGCACCACGUGAUAACCGAGCCUGUCGUGGAUUUCGGUAGGUUUUCCCGCUGGGAAAGGUUACUCCGGACUGUGGUGUAUGUCAAGCGUUUCGUGAACAAUGCAAGAGGCACCAGGGAUAAAUACUUCGGAAAUCCGAGUUCAGUAGAACUACAGCAGGCAACUACCUCAAUCAUGAAAAUAGUUCAACGCGAAGCCUACCCUGAUGAAGUGAGCAUACUGACAGGUAACCUAACAUCGCCGCCGGAAAAACAAGCAGUGAUCGACAAGUCUAGCAGUCUAUAUCAACUUUCUCCCGCGAUUGAUGAUCAAGGUGUGGUGCGCCAAAAUAGCCGAAUUAGAAAUGCAGAUCAUAUGCCUUACAAUCUGCGUUACCCGGUACUGCUUCCUAAGGACCACCGAGUAACUAUAUUGAUUAUUGACUGGUAUCAUCGUACUUACCGACAUGGUAACUCGGAGACAAUCGUCAACGAGAUUCGACAAUCAUACAUCAUUCCAAAUCUCCGCGUUUUGGUGAAAAGGGUCGCCCGCAAUUGUCAGUACUGCAGAGUUCACAAAGCAUCACCACAAAUUCCACCCAUGGCUCCUAUCCCGUCGGUACGGCUUACAGAUCAUGUACGCCCUUUUAGUUACGUCGGAGUAGAUUACUUCGGCCCCAUGCUUGUAAAGAUAGGAAGAAGCAAUGUCAAGAGAUGGGGAGCGUUGUUCACUUGCUUGACAGUGCGCGCCGUGCACUUAGAAGUGGCACACAGCUUGUCAACAGCAUCAUUCAUUUCCUGCGUUCGUCGUUUCAUCAAUCGUCGUGGUGCUCCGAUAGAGUUCUUCUCUGAUAAUGGAACUAAUUUCCAGGGUGCUGAGCGGAUCCUUCAGGGUCAGAUUAAUCAAGGCCUAUCGGAAACCUUCACCAAUGCUUCGACGAAAUGGACGUUUAUUCCACCAGGAGCCCCUCACAUGGGGGGCGCUUGGGAGCGCCUGGUGCAGUCGGUUAAGACCGCAAUGGGAACAGCAUAUUCAGAUAGCAAAUUGGACGAAGAGGGAUUACAGACUCUCCUUAUUGAGGCAGAAGGUCUGGUGAAUUCCAGACCUUUAACAUACCUACCUCUGGACUCGGAAGAAUCGGAAGCGCUAACCCCCAACCACUUCCUGCUAGGAAGCUCAACUGGGGUUAAGCAGCCACCGGUUGCAAUUGAAAGUGAAGGUAAGGGCCAACGAGAGACGUAUGCGCAAAUACAACGUCAGCUUGAUAUUUUCUGGCAACGUUGGACGCGAGAAUAUUUGCCAGUAAUACGUCGCCAAGCUAAAUGGUUCAACGAAACUCGUGCUCUACAAGAAGGUGAUUUGGUUAUGCUAGUCGAGGAACAUGUGCGCAAUGGAUGGGUACGUGGACGUGUGGAAAAGGUGAUCCAAGAUAAGGAAGGCAGAGUAAGACAAGCUCUCGUGAAGACAUCGAGUGGCGUGAUGAGACGUCCAGUGUCUAGAAUCGCCAUAUUGGACGUGGGAAAGGAGUCUAGUGCAGUCUCGGAGACCGCCGAGAUGCACCCGGGGGAUGAUGUUGCCGUGGCUGUAAAACCGGCAACACGGACAGAGUAGACAUGAGAUCGAAAAGCGCACAGAAAACAAAACAACGCGAUAGUUGAUUUCGGCAGAUUUAUUUCUAAAAUUUGUUCCUAAAAGUAAUUGUUUUUCCUAAAAAUUUGAUUUAUACUCAAUACUAGACGUUGAUAGUACCGAUGAACAUUCCAACAGGGAAUUAAGGUUAGGUUAGUUGGAUCGCCACUGAAAACGCCCCGCGAAUAAUCGGGUCACUGAAUUGUAAGCGAACUUUAUGUUUAAAAACAACCACUUUGUAACAACGCUAUCUAAUUCCAGGUUUGAAGCAAAUCAAAUAAAGCUCUCAAAAAUCAGUGUGUCCGGCGUUUAUGACUCGAACUGAUC